CAGUAGUGUAUACUAAAGUUGUUGCAGUUAAAAAGCUCGUAGUUGAAUUUCAGGACGAGACGGCUUGGUUCGGGCAACCGAUACUGACUGUCGAGUUCUUCCUUCGGAAGGCGUCGUGUGCCCUUAACCGGGUGUGCGGCGAAUUUCGAUCGUUUACCUUGAAAAAAUUGGAGUGCUCAAAGCAGGUUCUUCAUUUGAACAUUUUAGCAUGGGAUAAUAAGAUAGGGCUUCGGUCUUAUUUUGUUGGUUUCUGAGAUCAAAGCAAUGAUUAAUAGGGACGGUUGGGGGCAUUAGUAUUCGGAUGUCAGAGGUGAAAUUCUUGGAUUUUCCGAAGACUAACUACUGCGAAAGCAUUUGCCAAGGACGUUCCCAUUAA
rnacentral:rRNA from 1 species